CAAUUGCGCAGCACGCAUUGAACCUUUGACCUUACGUACACUCACUUCGUUUUCCAGCGACAGUUUUCGUUUGUUUAGCAGCAGUGUGUUUCACAAUGGAUCGUUUUGUAUUUCAUACAUUUCCGCGCAGUUCAGAACAGCAAAAGAGAGAAGGUGAUCCAAUGAAGACUGAUUCGGGUUCUGUUUUAUGGGACUGAGGGAGAUUCAGACACGAGGAAGGGGACCUGGAUUUUCUGUUGAGGAAUCAGGCAUUGCCAAAGACACUAACAAUGAUCCCCAUGAGUGUCUAAGUUCUUCAAAGCUACUCAUGCUUUCGUGGUCAACCAUGAAAACGGACUGCUUUAUAAUGAAGACAUCAUAUGAUCAAUCCCUAAUCUCCCCGGACUCUUUGGACUGUCUCAAUCACUGAAACAUGUGGAGCUGACAGGCCUCUCUUCUAUAUAACCAAGUAUUGAUCCAUAUUGAUCUGGCCCCCACAAGGCUUUGCAGCAUGUUUGGAGCAGCGCUGGAAUCUACAACCCGAAAGAAAGUCCAUGUGUUUUCCAAAGCAUGAAUACUUCAGCUGUGCAACGGGACGAGCAGGCGAGCAAGCAUCGACGGGCUCAAACAUCCAUUAUUUACAUCAGGACUUCACACUACAUGAGAAACACAUCAGAGAGACAGACAUCCAUCUGCACAUGACUCAUUGAGGCAAUCCAUUUGCAAGACUUCAUCAGCUCAGCUGUCACAGUAUGAGAGCAUGACCUGUUUACUCCAUCCUCUAAUCACAUAAUGAGGGCUCCAUGGCAGAGGCAGACUAAACAGGGACAUCAGCCACAUUGGAAACGAUGCCCUAUUCCCUUCAAGUGACCCUCACGUAUCAUUAUGGUACGGUUCUUCAGAGCAAAUGGAAAACACUCUCAAGACACUGAAUGGAACAUGAGGAGCUAAGGUUUGCAGACAACACGCUGCUGCCAUGCUAAGAGCUGAAGCAUGUAGGAGUUCAAGUGUGACAAACUGAGUCUGUUCUUUUCUCCCGUUCACUCCUGCUUCAUGUUUCAUACACGUCAACUCCGGGUCCUUUUAACAUUUAACAUAGAAAUGAAGAAAUAAAACUAGUCUGUUAUCUGCAUGUGUUUUGGACUCGUGUCAAGAUGAAAGCCAGGUCAAUGCAGUGAACACACUGCAGUUUAAUACUUAACAAAGUAUUUGGGUUUGAACAGGAAGAAUGUGUCUGCCUUUCAGUCAACUGUGUGUCUCCAGAGCUGUGAUCAGUACUGAUUAUGAUGAAACCUGAGAAUAGGAGGAUUUCCGUUUCAGAGGCAACUAACUGUCAGAUAAUGAAGAUUUCUUAAAACUGUUUUACAGCUACAAACGUUUCACAAGUCUAAAACCUAACAGAUGGCCUCAGGCAUAUUCUCCCUGUGUCAUUAUUAACUACCUGAAGGACCUUUGAGCUUGCUUUCCUUUAUUUUGACAAGUCUGCAGAACAGAGGUAUACAAUAUUCUCUUAUGAUAAACAUGCAUUUUCUUCCACCUGCACCAAAAUGGUGUCAAGAAUAUGUUAUGCAUAUACAUCAUGCACCAUUGUCUACAAAUACAAUUAUAAUUUUAGACAUUUAUAAAUCACAGAAAACAUUUACAGGCUUGUAUUUGAAAUCAUUUUUACAGCACUGUAGAGAACAUUCAGUAAGAAGCUGAGGAGACUGGAGCUACUUGGACUCGAGCACAAGAUCUCCUGCAUAUAUUUGGCUCUGUAGAGAAUAACCCAUCAUGCAGCCAGAACAACAAGCGUUAAUUGCUCAGACAGAUCGCUGAGUCAUCAGAUGGAGUGUUCUGUAAAAAAUGUAAGGGCCUGUCUUUGUUUUUGUGUAACCUAAUUUGGACACUUAUCAAACUGGUUUAAUGUCAGCUCGGCUCUGAAUUUGUACUCAUGCUGAUGUCUUUUUCCACGUCAAAGCUUUCGUAUCUGCAAUAAAGUGUGAGGGUUUGAACUUG